AUGAAGACCUACAACCAACAGAUCCUACAACAUCGCCAAGAUGAGAGUAACACAGAACGUCGAUGCUCGAUCAAGAGAAAAACGAAAAUGCAAAAGUGAUUAACAUAGAUGUAAGUGAUUUCACAUUUACCCUCUCCAAGUCUCCAAUCUGUUUACCGCGCCAAUUUUGACGCAUCCGCAGACAAGAUUCCUACUUUUUUGUUGUCCUACCCCCUAGCCCCCCCCCCAACUGGAUAUUGCCGUCGAACAUGGUUGCCGUGCACCAUGACCUUCCAUUCUUAAUUUCGGCGGUUUUUCACACGAGAGGACUGGACCCACGCGCUUUGGGGGCUUGGCGGAAGAUCGGCAAAAGCAUGUGACGUCAUACUUACCAAAUGCUAGCCCAAAAUUGACCAAAACAUGCCAAAACCGGCCGAGUAAAGGGCCUAGGUCUAGGCUGUCAUCGACAUUAUUAAUUAUGUACAUCAAUAUUUCAAUAUCAAUUAAUAUUACCACGCACUUUUUAUGGGAUAAUAAGUACCCAGGUUUCCAGAGCCUUCGACAGUAAAUAAUAAAUUGAAACGUCGCGAAGGCUCUGGUUCAACGGGGAGAUUCUUUGAUUAUAUAAACCGCGCCAAUCACAAAACAGAAUUAAUGGUUUUAGUACAGAUUCUGUACUAAAACCACUAAUUCUGUUUUGUGAUCGGCGCGGUUUAAUCAAAGAAUCUCCCCGUUGAACCAGAGCCUUCGCGACGUUUCAAUUUAUUAUUUACUGUCGAAGGCUCUGGAAUCCAGGGUAGAUAAUAAGCGGCAUUUAAAUUGAUUGAAUUGGCGCCGACGCCUAAAAUAUCGACGGCAAUUUUUUGUCUGUGGUAAGGGACUGGUCAUAAUUUAUCAGGGGGGUGGGGAGGUGUAAUUCAAAAUUUUAAGGAAUGAUAUUUUGUCACCCUGCUUUGCCAUAACCCAGAAAAAUAAUGCCCCCCCCCCCACCCUCCCUUGCUAGUGUCAGUAAAAAUGUACCUACCUGCUACUAAACCCUGCAUUCAAUAAAUUUUCUAAUUGCACUUUAAAUUUUCUAAUUUUCUAGUUGCGCUUUAAAUCAAAUACUAAAAUUUAUAUUAUACCAAUACAUAGUCAUAUAUAUAUUCAUUCUAAGUUUAAAGAAUCAAUUUUUUUCAAUGCAACUCACACAAAAUGCAUUUUUUUCAAUGCAACUCACACUAAAACAGCAGACCCCCUCCCCGCCUUCAUAAACUGUCUAAUAUUUUAUGACCCCCCCCCCCUUUCCUGGCUAAAAAAUAUGUGACCCCCCACUGUUUCCACCUCCCCACCCUCCUGCUAAAUUAUGACUAGUCCCUAAUUUGGUAAACUGAUUGUGAGGACUGAAUAUCUGAUAAAAAAUCCUGGCAAUUUACAUAACUCAAGCCUUUAACAUGAUUGGAUCCUAUUUCAUGGACUCAUGGAUACUUUUUUUAAUUUCUAAAGGCGAUGUGAUGAAAUGUUGAUGUAAUGAAAAGAGAUGAUGAAAAGACCAAAAAGAACCACUCACGAAUAGCAUGGAGCCAAGAAAAGAAUGACGAUUCGCAACAAUCCGAAACCACAACAUUGCUAAUAUGAGAGUAGCAAAAAAUUAUACCAAUGUAAGUUAGUUAAAGACAACAUACUUAUUUAAAGAUCAAAGGGGAUUCAAGCGAAUACAAUGAAUUUCUCAUUGAAAAUAAGCAUGCUACGAGUUUACCAAAUCUUUCGACUUUGUUUUUCAAUUUACGGAGUACAGAAAUAAUGGUCAAUAAUUGCCCUCAAAAUCAGGUGCGAAAUGCGAUAACACAGUGUUUUUAAAACAACGGGCUAGUGUCUGUUUGUAUAAAAAAUAUCGAAGCAACAAUACCUUAAAAGCACGAAAUCUUGCCUGGAAUAUUUGCGA
rnacentral:lncRNA from 1 species